rnacentral:rRNA from 1 species
GACGAACGCUGGCGGCGUGCUUAACACAUGCAAGUCGAACGGAAAGGCCCUGCUUUUGUGGGGUGCUCGAGUGGCGAACGGGUGAGUAACACGUGAGUAACCUGCCCUUGACUUUGGGAUAACUUCAGGAAACUGGGGCUAAUACCGGAUAGGAGCUCCUGCUGCAUGGUGGGGGUUGGAAAGUUUCGGCGGUUGGGGAUGGACUCGCGGCUUAUCAGCUUGUUGGUGGGGUAGUGGCUUACCAAGGCUUUGACGGGUAGCCGGCCUGAGAGGGUGACCGGCCACAUGGGAACUGAGAUACGGCCCAGACUCCUACGGGAGGCAGCAGUGGGAAUAUUGCACAAUGGGCGGAAGCCUGAUGCAGCAACGCCGCGUGCGGGAUGACGGCCUUCGGGUUGUAAACCGCUUUCGCCUGUGACGAAGCGUGAGUGACGGUAAUGGGUAAAGAAGCACCGGCUAACUACGUG